CUCUCGCAGUCUCUCCUGUUACCAGUCAGAGUGACGUUGGACAGUUGAAGGAGUAGUCGCCAUUAUUAUAAAGACUAGGGAGUUAAACUCGGAUGCUAGGCUAGAGAACGCAAUUAUGGACUUUUUCACUUUCGGGCUAACCGUGAUUUGAUCAGGCUUGAGAAAAAUUACUAAUUAUUUAGGGUAUUCUCAGCCUCUAAUAUAUAUUAGUACGCGAUCAUCGAAUUUGAUUUGGCGCAUAAUCGACAAUGGAGUCUCACGUUUCACCUGUGACGAUCAUCACUACGAAUUUGCCGGUAGAUACGCCGCGUCUCACGCCAACGGGGAGGAUAAGCCAUGCAAAAACUCGAGUCUACACGCAGCGAUACAGAACAGAUUGGGAGAGAAUGCCAGAAUUUCGAGGGAUCGCAUGGAUCACCAAUCCAUUCUGUCGACAUGAUACGAGAUUCCCACAUUUAGUGUAAUAAAUUUUCUGCUUUUGUCCUGCCUAGUUACUAGUAUACUAAAUAUAGGAAUAAAAGAGAACUAGUACGAAUUUUGAAGUCGAACACACAAAGAAGAACUAGUUAUUUAGAACCUUCUCUUACUAGUAUGAUAGAUACAUAUACAAUAAAGCUACGUGCAAAAGAAUGGAAAAUAUUGUACAUUUAUAACAUGUAUGAGUAAUAUAGUUGUACGUAUGUAAAAACUAAACUGGCAUUGCUCUUGCUAUUAAAUUUUCUUGUUGUAUUGAACAAGAUAAAACAGUUUUAGUUAACAUAAGCCAUAUUAAUCUAACCAUAUUGAAAAUGUGCAUACAUUUCUUUCUUGCAACUCUUUAUUAAAGAGAGAUAAAAUGGCGGCAGAGAGAUAGCUGACAACUUUUUCAGAAAGCGGAAUCAUCUUGUAACAUAUCUAGAAAUUUCCAAGAGCAGAAUACAGUCUACUUUUUCUUCCCACUCUUGUUGGCAAGUUUCUCUUGCCAACUUUUCUCCUCUUUUGCAGUACAGCCAUGUUGGUAAAAGUGAUGGAGAUGGCUAACUUCGGUACCAUUUCAGCCAACUCGUGCUUAUUGUAAAUAUUGUAAAAAAAAUUUACAUGCACAUCGGUUAUCACUAUUGAAACAUACAUGCACAAUGAAGCAUCAGCGUUCAGCUUUGCAACACAAGGAGGA